rnacentral:rRNA from 1 species
CCUACGGGUGGCAGCAGUGGGGAAUAUUGGGCAAUGGGCGAAAGUCUGACCCAGCAACGCCGCGUGAAUGAAGAAGGCCUUCGGGUUGUAAAGUUCUUUUGUAAGGGACGAAGCAAGUGACGGUACCUGACGAAUAAGCCUCGGCUAACUACGUGCCAGCAGCCGCGGUAAUACGUAGGAUCCGAGCGUUAUCCGGAUUUAUUGGGUUUAAAGGGUGCGCAGGGGGGAUGUCAAGUCAGCUGUGAAAGUUUGCGGCUCAACCGUAAAAUUGCAUUUGAUACUGUUCGUCUUGAGUGCGGUUAGGGUAGGCGGAAUUCGUGGUGUAGCGGUGAAAUGCUUAGAGAUCAUGCAGAACACCGAUUGCGAAGGCAGCUUACCG